UUUUUGGGACCCGUUGUCUUUAGUAGAGAGCUAAGAGUGGAUCCACAGGAGAUAGAGGUUGUAAUCAGUUGGGAGUAGUCGUAGUCUAUACCGGAGACUCGCUGUUCCAUUGGUCUGGCUAGAUAUUACCAGAGAUUGAUUGAGGGUUUUCUCCAGCAUUUAUGCAAUUGACCGGAUUGUCUAGGAAAAGUAUGAAAUUUUCCUAGAUAGAUGCCUGCGAGAUCAGUUUAGAUAACUGCACCGGUCUUAGCGAUGCUUUCUAGUGUAGACGGAUUUGCACUCUAUAUAGAUGUAUCGUACCUGGGGUUAGGUGCAACUCCGAUAUAGCAAGAGCGGAGCAGUCUCAUGCCAGUAUACUGAAUUAUCGUGUGAUGGGAAUGAGAUUAUUUGAUUUUCAUGUGAGAUUAUGUGUGUUUCCGAGUCACUUCUUGUCCGGGAGAAGUUACUGCAGGAAAUACCUUGAUCUGAAUUUGUGGUACAUUCGGGUGACACCUGAUGUCUGGAGACUUGGAGCAUUCUGAUGGUAGAACGAUAUGAAGAAAGAUAUCGCAGAUUUUGUAGCUUGAUGUCUAGUAUGUCAUCCAGUGGGGGUGAGCAUCGGAGACCAGUAGGAUUGUUUCAGUAGACUCGUAUUUUGGAGUGAAGUUGGGAGCAUGUUUUGAUGGAUUUUAUUGUGGGAUUAUCCAGAACAUGGAAAGGAUAUGAUGAUUUGGGUAAUCAUUGUUGGAUGAUGACUUGCUUCCUAGCUAUGGAUUUGUGGGACGGAUUCUUUGGAUUGAGUAGCAGGGUUAUACUCUAGAGGGAUUACCGGACUGGAUGAUGUAUUUCUGAGUAUUGUUUUGGAGGGAGAUCAAUGAUUUCACAUCAUGGUUUUGAUGAUGGUUACAGCAGACUUUGGGUUAGGAGUUUCACUUUAGUAUAGAUUUUCAUCUCAGACUGAUGGAUAGUUUGAGUGCUCUAUACAGGUGUUGGAGGAUUUAUUGAUAGUGGAAUUUGGAUUUUAGAGGUGUUUGAUUUAUCCGUAGUUGGUUAGAUUGUAGAGUGUGAGUAGCGGGAGUAGGGUGAGUUUAUAGCUCACAGAGUUGUCGCUAGUCACUUGGAGGAGGAUUAUCAUGUUUGGAGAUCUGUUUAUGAUACUAGGGUUGGAGAUUUAUUUAUGAUGUUAUGAUGGAGUAGCGGAUGAGGAUGCUGUUUGGAUGUUACCCUUGGAUGAGGAUCCCUGAGUUGACCAGUAAAUUUGGGGACCAAAUUUUUAUUAGUGGGGGAGAAUGUAAGAUACCGUAAGAUUUAAUAAUAAAUGUUAUUGGACGAAAAAUCUUAUUGGAUUUUUCUGGAAUUUUUAGAAAUUUUUCGGGAUUUAAACGGGCUCCGUAUGAUCCGUUUUGAGAGCAUGGAUUUCGGGUACAGAGGAGGCAUGUUUGGAACACCAUUUAAGUGGGAGUUGAUUAAGGAGAAAACUUUGAGUUUAAUUAAAUUAAACCUAAGUGUUUAAAUAAGCCCUAAUUCCCGAUUUCCUCCUCCUUCACACGGUUUUCCUUUCUCCCGAGCCUUCUCUCGCGAUUUCUUCUCGCACGAUCGCCGGUCGCCAUGGACUCACCGCCGGCAACGAUCCCCUCCUCCAGCGUACCUCGGUUGAGCUUUCCUCCUCUCUGUCUCUCUCUCGUGCCGCCGUGGUCCGUUUCUCCCCGACGCUUCUUCCUUCCUCUCUCGUGCGGAUGAAUUCGACACCGACGGAGAGAUUCUUCCCUGACGAUCCUAUUCUCGCCGAGUCGCCUGAGGGAGAGCAUCGGAUCUCGACGGUAUCAACUAUCUCUGGAGGAGCGACCACCUUCUCGGCCACUCGACCAUUCCUUGCGCGCGGUGGACAGCGAUCGGGGGGGGGGGAUUCAAUCUAGGGCACAACAAGGUUUGGGAUCGCAACGCCCUCCUAGCCGAUUGACCACCGUCAAUCCUCCUCCUGGAUCCGAUCACUGGUGUAUGCUCUGUAUCUCCCCACCAGAUGGAUUGAAUCGGGUGAUCAACCUUGAGGAAGCAUUGGAUCAAUAUGUGGUGGACCUUCCUUGUUGCCGACCAUUGCCAGUUCUACUUCUUCAAGCUGUGCAUGCCUCGGGUGAAGAGGACUUGGAUUCGAGGCGAGCGUCUCGACGCGGGUGGGAUUUAUCUUAUCAUGAUCGACAUAUUUAAGGCGGGUAUUUCUUCCUUGCCUCUGUGUAGAUUUUAUUGAGCUUAGUGCAUGGUUUUAUGAGAUGGUUUAGGAUGCUUUAUCUUAUAUCAUGUUCGUUUGUUGCUUUCCUGCUUGAUACCGAUGCUUGACCCUUGUGAUGAUCUAUUUAAUUCUUAUACAGUCUACACUUUGGAUUAUCUAUACUCUGUGGUAUUUGUGUACAUGUAGAGUAUGUAUGGUAGGGAUUACUUCAUUGGCGGUAUUCAUAUGAGGCUUAUCCAUCCGUAUGUCGGGUAUACUUCUGUCCGGUGUGAUGAUUGGAGUCGUGUUGAUUGUAUGUCUGUGGUUUAUACACGUGUUUGAUGUGUUUUUACUGGAGGAUACAUGUUGAUUUUACACGUGGGGUUGUGUAGGUGUGUCUGUUGAGGUUAUUGGAGAUCUUUGGUUGACUAUACAUGUGUGGUUAUAUACAUAUGUUUGGUGGGAUAUAUGGAGAUAUCAUGAUGAUUAUACUCAUGUUGUGGGACACUUAGGUGGAUUUAG